CAUCUAUAUUUAUCACAUUGUAGAUUGUUGCGCCUAGCUAUGGGUCUCUCUCCUGGAGCAGACUGUGAGCUCUUCCAAGUCACAAACCUUGCAGCCCCACCACCUGCAUGGGGCCUGGCCUCAGGAAAGUUUAUUGAAUGAAGAAAAGGACUGAGUGACCCAAAGACUCAGAAACCAAAAGGGAUCAUUCCAAACUGUCAAAAGGAAAAAGCAACCCCACCACCUGCUGGACUGACUGACUGGUCUUCAUUGAGUGUUCUUGAUGGGAAUGUGAACUUCAAAGUCAAAGAGUGCCUAUAAUCCCAGCACUUUGGGAGGCCGGGGCAGGUAGAUCACCUGAGGUCAGGAGUUCGAGACCAGCCUGGCCAACAUGGUGAAACCCCAUCUCUACUAAAAUACAAAAAUUAGCUGGACAUGGUGGUGCACACCUGUAAUCCCAGCUACUAGGGAGACUGAGACAGGAGAACUGCUUGAACCUGGGAGGGGAAGGUUGCAGUGAGCCAAGAUUGCACCAUUUGCACUCCAGCCUGGGUGACAGAGCAAGACUCCAUCUCCAAAAAAAAAGAGUGCUGCAUUCAUAUCCAGGCUGACCCGCUUGUCAGUUGUGUGACCUAGACUAUGCUACUACAUCCCUCUGAGCCUGUUGCUGGGUUUACACAGCCAACAUUGACUAGAGAUUAUCACAAGGGGUUAUUACAAAGAUUCAGUGAGAUCAUAGUGGCAAAAUGUGUGGCUCCGUUCUCGGUACAGGUAGCAAUUAUAUGACUAUGGUCAAGAGGAAAAUGUUUGCAGGGGAGGAUGGAAGGAACUUGAUCAGAUUACUGUGAAAGUGGGAGGGCCGGGCAUGGCGGCUCACAUCUGUAAAUCCAGCACUUUGAGAGGCUGAGGCGGGCAGAUCACCUGAGGUCAGGAGUUUAAGACCAGCCUGGUCAAAAUAGUGAAACCCCAUCUCUACUAAAUAUACAAAAAUUAGCUGGUGUGGUGGUGCAUGCCUGUAGUCCCAGCUACUCGGGAGGCUGAGGCAGGAGAAUCGCUUGAACCUGGAAGGUGGAGGUUGCAGUGAGCCGAGAUUACGUCUCUGCACUCCAGCCUGGGCAACAGAGUAAGACUCUGUCUCAAAAAAAAAAA
rnacentral:lncRNA from 1 species